GCGGGCGUGGCGGAAUGGUAGACGCAUGGGUCUUAAAAACCCUGGUCAUUCAAUGACAUGCGGGUUCGACUCCCGCCGCCCGCACCA
rnacentral:tRNA from 1 species